rnacentral:rRNA from 1 species
UAGGGAAUCUUCCACAAUGGACGCAAGUCUGAUGGAGCAACGCCGCGUGAGUGAAGAAGGUUUUCGGACCGUAAAGCUCUGUUGUUGGUGAAGAAGGAUAGAGGUAGUAACUGGCCUUUAUUUGACGGUAAUCAACCAGAAAGUCACGGCUAACUACGUGCCAGCAGCCGCGGUAAUACGUAGGUGGCAAGCGUUGUCCGGAUUUAUUGGGCGUAAAGCGAGCGCAGGCGGAAGAAUAAGUCUGAUGUGAAAGCCCUCGGCUUAACCGAGGAAUUGCAUCGGAAACUGUUUUCUUGAGUGCAGAAGAGGAGAGUAGAACUCCAUGUGUAGCGGUGGAAUGUGUAGAUAUAUGGAAGAAUACCAGUGGCGAAGGCGGCUCUCUGGUCUGCAACUGACGCUGAGGCUCGAAAGCAUGGGUAGCGAACAGGAUUAGAUACCCUGGUAGUCCAUGCCGUAAACGAUGAGUGCUAAGUGUUGGGAGGCUUCCGCCUCUCAGUGCUGCAGCUAACGCAUUAAGCACUCCGCCUGGGGGAGUACGACCGCAAGGUUGAAAC